rnacentral:lncRNA from 1 species
GUUGUUUUGUGGUUUUCAGGUCGUUCGUGUGCGGCGCGGCGGCGCGAGGCGAGGGCGUAGCUCAGUAGAUAGCGCCCCACCACAGAGACCGAGGUAGCAGUACCCUGAGGCAGUCUAGCUUAGGGGGCUAGAAGACAAGAAAAGAAAAUGUAUCAAACUCGUAAACUCUGGUGUAAUAGUGAGAUUGCAAUUUGGAAGUAAAAAUGUAAACUGAAACUGUGAUGUAUAACGUGAUUGUGAAAUGAAUGCUUGUAAUAGCAAGUAGAUUAUGUAUUUGAUACUUCCUUAUGCAAUCUGGAUUGAUAUCCGUUCCUUGUUGGAACAGUCGUUGAUUGUUUGGAUUGCGACGCCUUGGACGUACUGGGGAGACUCUGUCCGUGUACAGGGAAAUUCCCGGUC